AAUGAACGCUGGCGGCGUGCUUAACACAUGCAAGUCGAACGAGAAAGGGAUUGCUUGCAAUCCUGAGUAGAGUGGCGCACGGGUGAGUAACACGUAGAUAAUCUACCUUCAAGCCUGGAAUAACUAUUCGAAAGGAUAGCUAAUACCGGAUGAAGUGAUUUGUCAUAAGAUGGAUCAUGAAAGGUUGCCUCUAUUUAUAAGCAAUCACUUGGAGAUGAGUCUGCGGACCAUUAGUUAGUUGGUGGGGUAACGGCCUACCAAGACAGCGAUGGUUAGCUGGUCUGAGAGGAUGAUCAGUCACACUGGAACUGGAACACGGUCCAG
rnacentral:rRNA from 1 species